rnacentral:lncRNA from 1 species
AAUGCAUUACAAAAAGAAAUAAUACGAUAAAACUUGAAAAAAGGUCUUAAUUUAACAAAUAAAAAAAAUCCGCGAAACUUCAUGAAUGAUUAAGGCGCAAAGACGUCAUAGUUAAACGUGACGUCAUACAAAUGAAAACUUACAAACUGGAAGUUAUUACGUUACCUGUACGAUUCAAAUUCGGAUAAAAUUACAUUAAAACGUCGAAUUCGAGGUAGGUGUUGUUUUAUUUUCGAUUAUAUAGUAGUAAUCGAACAUUUGUUGAUUGAACAAUACACCUUAUCGCUAAUCCCGGCUGACCCUGCCGCUUGAACUUUUGACGUCAACAACAAUCACUUUUCCAUUGUGGCGUCAGAUAUUUUGUUUUAUGACGUCAACAUUUUACGGGAACCUGUGUGAAAUCCAGCAAUGGCGGAUAAAUAGCGAUAAGGUGUAUUCAAAAUGUCGGGUCCAUCCUUAGUUACGCCUGGUCAACUGUGGAUUUGACGGCAGCUUUUAGCCAAUGAAGAAUAUUGUUACA